GUACACGCUGUGACUAGCAUAUCAAUAAGCGGAGGAAAAGAAACUGACAAGGAUUCCCUCAGUAACGGCGAGUGAAGCGGGAAGAGCUCAAAUUUGAAAUCUUGAAAGGUCACCUUUCACGAAUUGUAGUUUAAAGAAGUGUUUUCUGUUACGAUCGUAAUAUAAGUUCUUUGGAAUAGGACAUCACAGAGGGUGAGAAUCCCGUCUAUGAUUGCGAUUUGUAGCUUUGUGAUACACUUUCAAAGAGUCGGGUUGUUUGGGAAUGCAGCCCAAAACGGGAGGUAAAUUUCUUCUAAGGCUAAAUAUUGGCGAGAGACCGAUAGCGAACAAGUACCGUGAGGGAAAGAUGAAAAGAACUUUGAAAAGAGAGUUAAACUAGUACGUGAAAUUGUCAAAAGGGAAGCGUUUGGACACCAGUGUUGUUUUCUCGAAAAUCAAUUAAAAAUGGCUCGAUUUUGUAUUGCUUGAGACCUUAAAAGCUCACUGUACAUUUUUCGUGUCUUUUUUAAUGCACUUUUCGUUUAACAAGUCAACAUCAGUUUCUUUUGUUGUAAAAGGGUCAUUGGAAGGUGGCUUUCUUUUCGGAGAAAGUGUUUAUAGCCUUUGGCCUCUGCAAUCGGAGAGACUGAGGUCUGCAGCGUAGACUCUUCGGGGUUAGAUACAUUUGUGCUAAGUUAUAGCUUUUUAUAGACAACUUGUUGACUAUAAUUAGUCUUGUAGCUUACUCGCUUAUGCUAUUUUACCUACGCUUAGGAUGUUGAGUAGCGACAUACGCAC
rnacentral:rRNA from 1 species